AGUCCUACGGGGGGCAGCAGUGAGGAAUAUUGGUCAAUGGGCGGGAGCCUGAACCAGCCAAGUCGCGUGAGGGAAGACGGUCCUAUGGAUUGUAAACCUCUUUAGGCGGGGAGCAAUGCCGGGCACGUGUGCCCGGAGGGAGAGUACCCGCAGAAUAAGCAUCGGCUAACUCCGUGCCAGCAGCCGCGGUAAUACGGAGGAUGCGAGCGUUAUCCGGAUUUAUUGGGUUUAAAGGGUGCGUAGGCGGAUUUUUAAGUCAGCGGUAAAAUGUCCGGGCCCAACCCCAUCCCGCUGUUGAAACUGGG
rnacentral:rRNA from 1 species